rnacentral:rRNA from 1 species
GACGAACGCUGGCGGCGUGCUUAACACAUGCAAGUCGAGCGGUGAGGCCCUUUCGGGGGUACACGAGCGGCGAACGGGUGAGUAACACGCGGGUGACCUGCCCUCAGCUCUGGGAUAAGCCUGGGAAACCGGGUCUAAUACCGGAUAUGACUCCAUGACGCAUGUUGUGGGGUGGAAAGCCUUGUGCGGCUGAGGAUGGGCCCGCGGCCUAUCAGCUUGUGGU